rnacentral:rRNA from 1 species
AUAUCAAUAAGCGGAGGAAAAGAAACCAACAGGGAUUGCCUCAGUAACGGCGAGUGAAGCGGCAACAGCUCAAAUUUGAAAUCUGGCUUCUUUGAAGUCCGAGUUGUAAUUUGUAGAGGAUGUUUCGGCUCUGGCUCUGGUCUAAGUUCCUUGGAACAGGACGUCAUAGAGGGUGAGAAUCCCGUAUGUGAUUGGAAGUCAGUGGCCAUGUGAAACUCCUUCGACGAGUCGAGUUGUUUGGGAAUGCAGCUCAAAAUGGGUGGUAAAUUUCAUCUAAAGCUAAAUACCGGCCAGAGACCGAUAGCGCACAAGUAGAGUGAUCGAAAGAUGAAAAGCACUUUGGAAAGAGAGUUAAACAGUAC